UCAUCAAUAGCUUUAACAGCAGCUAAAUAGAAAAGUUUAACAAAUCUAAAUACAUUGAAAAAAUGUUUUCCUAAUAAAAAGGUAAACAAUAUUUAGAAAAAAAAAUUAAGUAUAUCUGUUACAUAAGGGUCCCUGACAAACUCUGAACAUUGUGAAAUGUCUUAGAACAGCAGUAAAAUUUUACUAACAUAUUUAUACACAUUAAACUUGUUUAUUUUCCACACCAAUCAAACCCUUAAAGAGCUUAAAUAAAAAUCAAUUAAAGAACUACCUUCUUCUUGAGCUUUACGCCCACC